rnacentral:rRNA from 1 species
CCUGGUUGAUCCUGCCAGUAGCAUAUGCUUGUCUCAAAGGUUAAGCUAUUCAUGUCUAAGUACACAUGGACAGUACAGUGAAACUGUGGAUGGCUCAUUAAAUCAGUUAUUGUUCCUUUGGUUGCUCCAACCGUUACUUGGAUAACUGGUAAUUCUAGAGCAAAUACAUGCUGAUGAGUGCUGACCUCUGGGGAUGCGUGCAUUUAUCAGACCAAAACCAACCCAGGCUCACCCACCCACUUUGGUGACUCUAGAUAACUUCGGGCCAAUCGCACGCCCCUGUGGUGGUGGCAAUGCAUUUGAAUGUCUGCGCUAUCAACUUUCAAUGGUACUUUCUGUGCCUAACAUGGUGACCAUGGGUAACAGGGAAUCAGGGUUUGCUUCCAGAGAGGGAGCCUGGGAAAUGGCUACCACAUCCAAGGAAGGCAGCAGGUGUGCAAAUUACCCACUCCUGACCCAGGAAGGUAGUGAAGAAAAAUAACAAUACAGGACUCUUUUGAGCCCCUGUAAAUGGAAUGAGUACACUUUAAAUCCUUUAACGAGGAUCUAUUGGAGGGCAAGUCUGAUGCCAGCAGCCGUGGUAAUUCCAGCUCCAAUAGUGUAUAUUAAAGUUGCUGCAGUUAAAAAGCUUGUAGUUGGAUCUUGGGAUCGAGCUGGUGGUCACCACUAGGUGAGCUACUGCCUAUCCCAACCACUGCCUCUUGGCACUCCCUUGAUGCUCUUAACUGAGUGUCCUGGGUGUCCAAAGCAUUUACGUUGAAAAAUUUAGAGUGUUCAAAGCAAGCUGGUGACUGGAACACUCCAGCUAGGAAUCAAGAAUAGGACUCCAGUUCUAUUUUGUUGGUUUUUGGAACUGGGGCCAUGAUUAAGAGGGACGGUCGGGGGCUUUUGUAUUGUGCCACUAGAGAUGAAAUUAUUGGACUGGCAAGAUGAAUCAAUGCAAAAACAUUUGCCAAGAAUGUUUUCAUUAAUCAAGAAUAAAAGUCAGAGGUUCAAAGAUGAUCAGAUACCAUCAUAGUUCCAACCAUAAAGGAUGCCAACUAGUGAUCCCACAGCAUUAUUUCCAUAACCCGCUGGGCAGCUUCUGGGAAACCAGUCUUUGGGUUCUGGGAAGAGUAUAGUUGCAAAGCUGAAACUUAAAGGAAUUGACAGAAGGGAACAACCAAGAGUGGAGCCUGUGACUUAAUUUAACUCAACAUGGGAAACCUCACCCAGCCCGGACACAGAAAAGAUUGACAGUUUGAUAGCUCUUUCUCAAUUCUGUGGCUGGUGGUGCAUGGCCGAUCUUAGUUGGUGGAGUGAUUUGUCUGGUUAAUUCCGAUAAUGAAUGAGACUCUGGCAUGCUAACUAGUUAUGCAAGCCCUGAGUGGUCAGUGUCCAACGUCUUAGAGGGACAAGUGGCAUUCAGCUACUGGAGAUUGAGCAAUAACAGGUCUGUGAUGCCCUUAGAUGUCCAGGGCUGCACGCACGCUUCACUGACUGGGUCAGUGUGUAUCUACCCUAUACCGACAGGUGCAGGUAACCCGUUGAACCCCAUUUGUGAUGGGGAUUGGGUAUUCCAAUUAUUCCCCAUGAACGAGGAAUUCCCAGUAAGUGCGGGUCAUAAGCUCUCAUUGAUUAAGUCCCUAGCCUUUGUAUACACCACCCAUUGGUACUACUGAUUGGAUGGUUUAGUGAGGUCCUCAGAUGGCCCCGCUGGAGUCAGUCACGGCCCUGGUGGAGCACCGAGAAGACAAUUGAACUUAACUAUCUAGAAUAGGUAAAAGUCAUAACAAGGUUUCUGUAGGUGAAAAUAGGGAAG